rnacentral:rRNA from 1 species
AUUGAACGCUGGCGGCAGGCCUAACACAUGCAAGUCGAACGGCAGCACAGAAGAGCUUGCUCUUUGGGUGGCGAGUGGCGGACGGGUGAGUAAUGUCUGGGAAACUGCCCGAUGGAGGGGGAUAACUACUGGAAACGGUAGCUAAUACCGCAUAACGUCGCAAGACCAAAGUGGGGGACCUUCGGGCCUCACACCAUCGGAUGUGCCCAGAUGGGAUUAGCUAGUAGGUGGGGUAAUGGCUCACCUAGGCGACGAGCCCUAGCUGGUCUGAGAGGAUGACCAGACACACUGGAACUGACGCACGGUCCAGACUCCCACGGGAGGCAGCAGUGGGGAAUAUUACACAAGGGACGCAAGCCUGAUGCAGACAUGCAGCGUGUAUGAAGAAGGCCUUCGGGUUGGAAAGUACUUUCAGCGGGGAGGAAGGCGGUGAGGUUAAUAACCUCGCCGAUUGACGUUACCCGCAGAAGAAGCACCGGCUAACUCCGUGCCAGCCGCCGCGGUAA